UUAACAUUCUAUACUAUGUUAACAAUCUUCUAGCAUAAUGAAGCAUAUCAGUUCUUUGAUAUCUGAGGCAUUACCUUAGCCACUAUCUGGAGCAUAUAUUUAUAGGGUGUUAGUUAAAAUUCCUGUAAAAGAAAAUCUGAGGGAAGGUGAUAUCUGAGGCAUUACCUUAGCAACUAUCUGGAGCAUAUAUGUAUAGUGUGUUAGUAACAUCUGUCCAUCUUGUUUAGAAGUGAUAUAAAGCUCAAAUGGAUUUGUGUCCUAACCCUUAUUUUCGAUACGACAUAUUUACUCCUAGUUGUGUGAAGUUAAUCCCAAGCAGUAAAAAGUUCAGAAUUCAAAGACAUCAAUGGGAUAUGGAUCGCGCUUAUUUUUCAGCCCAGAAUAAAUACCAGACGUACCAUACAUGUAAAACUUGCAGCACAAAAUCCAGAUGUCUAAGUCAUGACAAUCAAUUACACUUCAUUGAGAGUCUUUCCCUGUAAGAAGUGUUCGUCCUACAUGUAUAACAACUGCUCUACUCUCUUGGUAAAUGCACACUGUAAGUUUGAUCAUAUUAACUUCACCAUGUUUUCAUCUGUCCUUGUGCAAUAGCGAGACUUGCAUAAACUGUCCCAAAUUGAUUGGCAAUGUUAAUUUUGUGUGAACUCUCUCAAAACAUCCCGAGUUUAUUUUGCCGUGUUAAUUUUGUAUUGGAUUGAACCUAUUUGCCAAGUUGAACAAUGUCAAAAUAUUUGACACUUUUAACUUAAUGUGGUGACUUAAGUCUGUACUUCAGUUAGUACGUGAUGUUCGUAAAUUCAGGUUUCUGAGGAUUCACAUUUUACUGUAUCUCGUAUUUUCAUGAUUAAAUUAAUUACCAUUGGGCACUAGAAUGAUUGCUCACAUCAAAGAGUAAAGAAAAUUCUCUGGUUACUUUGCAUCUUGAUAUGUAGUAUUGGAAAUUUUGUUUGCCAAAUGAAGGAAUUUAAUUUAGAAUUUCACACUAUUUUUGGUGAAAUUUUUAAAUCUGCCAGUUUUCGGUACAGGUAUUUGAGAAUAAGAAUUCAAAGAAUGUUUUUCAUAAGAUUACCUCCAUGUACAUAUAUAUAUAUUAACAACUGAUUUAGGAGAAUAACCAGGAUGCAUCAAAGAAAUCUUAGAUAACCUUGAAGAGAUCAGCCAAAAUUAACGAACUCUGUACAAUGUAUACAUAUGAUUUCCAAGCUACAUGCUUGUUCUUUAAACAAACAGAUGGCUGUACAUAUGAAGAAAGAUGUACUGUUAUAAAGCAGUUCAGACCUAUUUUAUUUGUACAAGAAUAUACAUGUAUGUAUAUUUUAUUGUUAAUGUUAAUUGUACAUAAUGGUUAAUCAUGUACCGUACAUUAUUUUUGAUUUGCAAUAUUUGUAUAUUAUGUUAAUUUAUUUUUUGCUGUCACGAUAUGAAUCAGAUGGCAGUAAAUGGGAAAUAUACAAGUGUGUUUUACAAAUUGUCUUAGCAUAAUUUUCCGUCAAGUAUGUGAUUGUUUUUGGGUGACCUAUUUCCUUGAAUGUUGUUGUUAAUGAAUAUGAAAUAAAAUAUUGAAUUUUACAA
rnacentral:misc_RNA from 1 species